AAGCAAGCAAUCAAUUCUGCAGCAGACACCAGCUGUGCCUCUUCUAAUUCAAUUUAAUUCUGACACUGUCUACCUGAGACAGAAUCAGAUCCCACAGGUUAAGGGCUCCGUCCCCAAGACUGCCUCUACUUCAGAUGCCAAUCACAAGCCCCCCCUUGUUUCAUCCGUGUUCUGACCCACGAGCUGCCCAUGGGGGUUUCCACAACUCCCUCCUUGAGUAUGAUUAACUUUAAACUGGCUCACAAAACUUAUGUUUACUGGCUUAUUAUAAAGAUAUUACUGAUGACCAUUAGGCAAAGAGGUGAACAGGGCAAAAUGAGGAGGAACUCCCACACCUCCUCCAGGAGAGCCUUCCUGUAGGAACUCCAGUGGUCAGCUCUCUAGCAGCUCUCCUAAGCCUGUCCUUUUGGAGGGUCUUAUGGAAGCUUCAUAUGUGGACAUGACUGAUGAAGCCAUUGGCCAUGAGGGGUCAACUUAACCUUCCAUCCCUCUCCCCUCCCACGAGGUUGAGGAGUAGGAUUGAAAGUUCCAGCCCUCUGAGCACAUGGUUGGUUCCUCUGGAAACCAGACCCCCAUCCUGGACUUGUCUAGAAUCUUUCCCCAAAACUACCUCACUAGCAUAAGGUUGAGUGUGUUUGAAAGGACCCAAGGAAAACAAAAAACUGUCUUUCACCUUUAUCAUCCUGAAUCUAUAUUGGAGCUGCUUCAGGAAUCAAG
rnacentral:lncRNA from 1 species